rnacentral:rRNA from 1 species
GCAAGUCGAACGGUAAGGUACUUUCGGGUACUGAUAGAGUGGCGAACGGGUGAGUAAAGCGUAGGAAUCUGCCCUAAAGUGGGGGACAACACGGGGAAACUCGUGCUAAUACCGCAUAUGUUCUUCGGAAUAAAGAUAACCUCUGAUUUAAGCUGUCGCUUUGGGAUGAGCCUACGUACGAUUAGCUUGUUGGUGAGGUAAAGGCUUACCAAGGCAUCGAUCGUUAGCUGUUCUGAGAGGAAGAUC